GAUGAACGCUGGCGGCGUGCCUAAUACAUGCAAGUCGAGCGAACGGACGAGAAGCUUGCUUCUUUGAUGUUAGCGGCGGACGGGUGAGUAACACGUGGAUAACCUACCUAUAAGACUGGGAUAACUUCGGGAAACCGGAGCUAAUACCGGAUGAUAUUUUGAACCGCAUGGUUCAAAAGUGAAAGACGGUCUUGCUGUCACUUAUAGAUGGAUCCGCGCUGCAUUAGCUAGUUGGUAAGGUAACGGCUUACCAAGGCAACGAUGCAUAGCCGACCUGAGAGGGGGAUCGGCCACACUGGAACUGAGACACGGUCCAGACUCCUACGGGAGGCAGCAGUAGGGAAUCUUCCGCAAUGGGCGAAAGCCUGACGGAGCAACGCCGCGUGAGUGAUGAAGGUCUUCGGAUCGUAAAACUCUGUUAUUAGGGAAGAACAUAUGUGUAAGUAACUGUGCACAUCUUGACGGUACCUAAUCAGAAAGCCACGGCUAACUACGUG
rnacentral:rRNA from 1 species